rnacentral:rRNA from 1 species
AUUGAACGCUGGCGGCAGGCUUAACACAUGCAAGUCGAGCGGAGCUGCUGACGGGUGAGUAAUGCCUAGGUAUCUGCCUGGUCGUGGUUGUUAACGUCCGGCAACGGGCGCUAAUACCGCAUCCUUUCAGAUGAGCCUAGUUCGGUUUGGCGAGUUGGUGGGGUAAAGGCCUACAAAGGCGACGACCCGUAACUGGUCUGAGAGGAGGAUCAGUCACACUGGAAUUGGGACACGGUCCAGACUCCUAGGGAGGGCAGAGGUGGGGAAUAUUGGACAAUGGGCGAAAGCCUGAUCCAGCCAUGCCGCGUGUGUGAAGAAGGUCUUCGGAUUGUAAAGCACUUUAAGUUGGGAGGCGUUACCAAAAGAAAAAGCAACGGCUAACUUCGUGCCAGCAGCCGCGGUAAUUG